UCUGAUGCUGAGCUGGUUAGACAGGUGGCUUCCUUCUGGGACAGAUAGAGAAGAGGAACCUUCACUCAUGACUGGGUGAUAUUAUAAUUGGAACUCUGCUUGGUGCUAUCCACUAAGACCGGAAAGACACUCAAGACUGCCACAUGGGGUUCUGCUUAGAUCAAGGCCUGUUUCAGCAGCAGAUUUUCCCAGUUGCCGUUUUGAAACAGUGCUUACGUGUGACUUCAGUGCUCGGAGCCCUCCUCUGUUAAGCAUCACCAAGGAUGAAGGCUUCUUUCUGCAAGUGUCGUCCACCACAAGAAGGACUUCUGAAUCUCCAUGCCCAGCAAGGUCCUGGGUCCUCUUCUGAGAUCGCAGACAUUCAUGAGCUUCCCCCAGCCAGAAUCCUACAGGAGCCUCCAAACCAUCACUCCUCAAAUUAAGAUAAUACUGCUCAUUGGCACCAGAAAAGCUGACAAAGAACAGAAGAAGCCAUGCACAACUUCACCACACAUAAAACUCCACUGCCUUUCAGAAGGAAAAUUUUGGAAACAUGAGGUAACUAUGGAACAGAUAGUUCAUGAGCUUUAUGCGUACCCAUAAAGCUCGUGCCCUCUGUUUAAUAGGAAACUUUCAGAAUUCAAAUGAAAAUCUCUAACCCAUUGAACAGUUUCUCCCCAGUUUCUUUUCCCACAGCUCCUGACAACUGGCACACAUAGGAGCUAAAGGAUAAAGUUUUUAAUUUUGACAAAAUAACCACUGGCGUUUGUUAAGAGUUGUGUUGAAUGCACAGAUUUCCCAGCUAUUGUGGACGUUAGUAUUGGGGUACUCAGUUGGUGGGUAAUGAACGUAUUUAUUCUUAUGUAGGCUUUCUUCUCAUCUGGAGAAAUGUCUUGUUAUAUUCACUGUGAUUAUUUGUAUAAAAUAAAUUUCUGGAGAUCAGAAUAUUGGACCAAAGAGUACAAGAGCUUCAAUAUAUAACCAAUAUUUUCC
rnacentral:sRNA from 1 species